rnacentral:lncRNA from 9 species
GCAGAGCACGGUGUCAAACUUCUGAAUUUUUGCCAGUCGGAUGGAGGAGAAAUGGCACCUCAGCCUGGCCUCCCUCAGCAUCUCUCUUAUACGAGCAAAGUUAAUGCCUUCUCAUGUAUCCAAGGACCAUUUUUGCAACCUUUUGGGGAAACUGUUUUUCUUGCCCUUUGCUCAUUUUUCUCCAUGAUUUUUGCGCUUUUGUUUCUCGACUUUUAAAAAGUUCCUUGUAUAUGAAAGCCAUUCACCUUUUAUCAGUGAAAGCACGGGCUCAUCAAGAAGCUCUGGUUUUCUCCUGCCCGGACCCUCCCACGGAGCCUGCGGCCAGGUGGGUGCUGACCACGUCUCAGCUGACUGGACCGGCCAAGCACAACGGGGGCUGGGGGUGGGGGGAGCCGGUCACAACCACACCCCAGAUCCCAAGUCAAACCCAAUGCCUAGGCCGACCGCUGGCUCCCCCACUUAAGAGGCACCUGCCAUGUCUCCCCUCCUGAGCCUGCCCUGGUCCCGCCUCCAGCUGCCUCGUCUUUGCUAUCUGCCCACGGCUGGACCUUCCCCUCCAGGGGGACGGGGGACUCCCCAGGGGCACUUGCCCCCCCCCCCGGCUUCUAAGAGCUCAGGGCGGUGCUCAAAAGCCAUGUGCCCGCUGGUUAGCCAUGUGCCAGCCGAUUAAUUUCUAGGGAAUUGAGCUUGUGCCCUGGGCACCUGGUCUUUCCAAGGCCCACCCUUCACUUCAGCCAAGGGGGGAGUCGGGGCCAUGUGUCAUGGAAACCUAAGGGCGGGACCCCCACAUCUCUACUCGAGAAUGGGGUGAAUGUUUAUUCUGUCCUUUCCCGCCCCCGACACAGCUGAGCUUCCAGAAGUGGCCCAAGUUCCAGUGGGGGAACCUUGAGUGGACAUUAUGUUUGCGGCCCUUGCUCUCUUUUCUGGUCACCAGCCUCUGCUUUCCUGGUUUUGGGGGUGACUAAUCCCCUGGCCCCCAUCUCUGGGUGGACACAUGGCCCAGCCUUUACCCCCAACCCCCAAAGGUGAUUGGCCCAAGCGGAGCCAAUCGGAAUUUUCCUGGGAUGUCUUUCAGAGCCUCAGGGCUGCUGACUACAGUGACAGGGUGACUGUCACAUGUGCCCUACCUGGACAGCAGCCUGUAUGGAUAGAAAGUACUGGACCCUGCUGAGCCUGUCUCCAGAUCCUCAGCAGUGACACAGGCCAGAAAAUCCCAGGCUUUUUUUUGGCCUCAGCGUUGGUAGCCAAGAGGCCCUGGUGGGCCUGUCCUUGGCGCCCCCGUCCCUGUGGGGUCACAGCCUCUCCCCAUCUUUCCUGUGACCACCCAGGUCUCCAGGGCCCUGCCUGUGGUGGGCACCAAGCAGAGCCUGGCACACAACACGUAAAUGAUGGGCAUGGUUCCCCCAACCCCCCCCAUGCCCACUCAGGGGUCUGUGCCAUGGAAACAGGCCCCCUGCCCACAGGAGGUCUCGGGUGUGGCUGCAAGCUGGGACAGCGGUCAUCUCAUGGCCAGUGCCCCAAACACCUCAUCUCAUCUGAUUUCUAAAGCCCCUUGGGGUGUGCACGGCCCCUCCCGUCCGCCUUCGGGCAGGGAAGGAACCCACUUUGCAGGCACUGCUUGCAGUGGACUUGAACCCACUGGAUUGGAACCCAGAUCCCUGUUCCACCAGCGUCUCUACCAGCAGGUUUGUCUUAAAUCUGCCCGGGGGGCCAAGGAUGGGGGUGAUUUUCAUCUGGAGACUUGGGGUCCUGAAGACCCCACUGGCCCCAGUUAGAGCGGAUGCUGCUCCGCCCUGGGCGGCUUUCAGGUAGGUUGCAUUCCCGCCACCUCCCUCUGGCGUCUGGAUCGGGAGCCCACUCCCCCCGCCCCGAGACAGCCCUCCCGCUCCGGGCUGUUCACAACCAGGUGAGAUCUCCGCGGAGCCACCGAAGUACUUAACUGGCAGAUUCCUUCCACGAAGUUAUACUUUUGCAGCUUUUAGGAAGAGCAAACAUUUUACUCUUCAAAUUGUGCUUGUCUUUAUUUUCUUCAGUGAAGGGGAGCGCCCCGGGGAGGAAACAGAAGUCCUUCUCGUGGGCCCGGGGGCUCCCCUGCACAGAGCCGCCCCGAGCCUGGGGUCACUCGUCCACCCCGAGUCUGAAGCAUGACUCAAGACAAGGGAAAGGAGGCAGAGUGAGGCUCGAGGGACCCCUGGCCCGCCUCCACUGCUAACCCUGGGGCUCUGGUUGUCGUGGUCCCUGUGGUCCCCAGGCCCCGCCGAGCCCGACUCGAUCGAACGCGGCCUUGUGUACCCAGAGAUCCGCCCCCCAGGCGGGUGGGGGUCGCAGGUGUCAGAAGCCCUGGCCCCGGCUUCAGCCGGGCCCUCCCCAGAACCAGCCUCGCCCGAGGGGGGACCCUGAUCCUUCGAGCUCCAUUCCGGACCGGGAACCCCAGCCUGCCUCCCCAUCUCUGCCCAGAGACCCUGCCUAGGGACCCUCCCAGGGGAGCAGCUAUCUCCUGGGGUGGGUGGGGGUCCCCCGCGGAGGCAGGUGAACACCAAACAAAUCCUGAACACCUACUGUGCACCCUGCCCCAGGCGGGCUCUUGACAAGCCUCCCCACAGUAAACCACAGGCGGCGCUGUCUUUGAGACCCCGGUUAACCUCCGUGGAGAAUUCACUCUAAACCAGGGCUGCUUGACAUCGGUAACUAAAAUGGCCUUCAAACCACCCCUCUGGGCUAGAUUCUGUGACCUUCCUGAUUUCACAGGAGCAGAGGCCCAGAGAGGUUCAAAAGCUGGCCCGAGACGCACAGCAAGGAAGCGUAAGGAGGUGUUGGAGCCGAACGAACUUCUCGCUCUCUGCUGCGCUGGGUCAGCUGGGAAUUGCACUCAGCCAGGGCCCUGGGUCCUUUGGAGGGGACCCCGGCUCCCAUGGCUCUGAGCACUGCUGCUCCUUCGGACCAGGAGGAAGCCAGCAGGAAGCAUGUUGGCACAGCCUCGGUGGAAGCGAAAGACCACACGCUGGAAUCCCAAAGCUUCAACUAUUCAUCAGCUGCCCAGUGCGCCAGUGGCGGUUCGGAGUGGCUGUUAACCUGGCGUUGACGCUAAACCUGGAGCAACAAGGACCGAAAUUCAGCCCAAACGACUGUUGGCACCUCCACCUCUGAGGUCUCGUGGAAAUUGGAUGAUCAAUUUUUAAGUGGCUUUAAUGAAAUAUUAGUUCCUUCUCCUUUGAAAUCGAUUUCACCAAAGCCAAAGCUUUAGAUCAGGUGAAAUCGCUCUUGGAAUAUGCCAGAGACAGGAUCCACCAACAGGCAGGUCUUCUCCGCCACUGACUGCCGGGAAGUGUCAAAGAACUGGGAGCCAGAGAUGGUUCUAUGGUCUCGGGAGGGAGCAGGGCCCAUGCUUUCCUCACCAGUCCCUGACUCAGGGGGUGGCAGUGAGUGCCAGGGAGUGACUGGCAGCGUCCCGACAGAGUGAAAGAAUGAGCGAAUGAAUACGCACGAAGCCAGCCUGUUAGGCUCCAUCACGGAAAUGCUUGCUUUGCCUCCAGGGAGUCAGCUGAAGACCCAGUGAAACAAAAGCUUUCCCAGGUGACCCUGGGAACCCCUGCGUCUCCUCCGGGGGUCCCGGACCUGGUGGGGGAAGCACACCAACGCUCCACCUGCUGGCCCCCACCCCGACCCAGGCCCCCGGGGCAAUGACGAUGGCAAGAACAUCCGCCUCUGUCUACACAGCAGAGACCGACACGGUCCUGUCCCCCGGAAGCGCAGGCGAAGAAGGAAGCAGGCGGCGCCCUGCCAGGAGAGGCAGAGCAGGGAGGGGCUUCUGCCCAGAGGAGUUCUUUUUUGGGGCGGGGGGGGUGUCACAAAACUUCUCCCGUGAAGUUUUCCCGAGUUCUAACCUUCUGCCGGGGGGCAGGAAUACCAGGUAAGGUGUGCGCCAAGUGCCAAGGCUGGAGCGGAGGCAGGGAGAGGGAGGGCACCCAUUUCCAAGGACACUGGGACUGUGACCUUGAAGCCAGUCCGGUGUGGGGCCUCAGGUGAUUCAGGCCCGCACCCCCCCCCGCCCCCGCCGUGGGAAGUGAGGGGACCCCUGCCAGAGGCAGGAUGCUACAUCUGGGCUAAUUCAGAAGAAGGAUGCAGGUUCACCGGGCAGGGCAGGCUGGGGGUGGGGGCAAGGCCAGCAUGCACUGCGUAUGUCCCAGGCAUCAGGGCGGUACUAGGGGGUCGACCAGACUUGUGCCAUAAGCUCACUGGAGAGAAGCAGCCUCGACUGCCCCACCUCCCUGGGGAUGGAGAGGCAGCUGCCACUGGGUGCAGGUGUUAGCUGGGUUGCAGGUGUCCCCACACCCACCGGGGGAGCCCGGCUGUCCGGUUGCAGCUGGGAGUGGUGGGCCAAGUGGGAGGGCUGCUCCCCCCACCGACUUGCUGACCAGCCACAGGCCAGGGGGCUGGAGCCGGGGGGAGGAGAGGAGAGGCUGCUGUGCCUGGGCUGGGGGUCAACCCCACACAGGGGCUGGGCCCUGAGAGCCCCGGUCAGCGAGCGGAGCCCUGGGAACUGUGCUCAGGGCUGCGGGAGACGUGCACAGACCCCCAUCAGCCUCCUCGGGACCCGCUGCCAGCGGAAGGCAGCGUCUGGUUUUUCCUUUUCUCUUUACAAAGAUAAACCGCUCCCGCUGCCGAAAUGUGGGAAAACGAAAGAAGACAACGGACACGAGAAUCACCUUCACGGCACCCAGCUGCACGGCCGCGGCCGUGGACGUGGCAGAGGCGGGGUCCCUCACAGCCGUGACUGGGGUGGGAGGGGACGAGACUCCAGUGACUGGAGUCAGGUCCUCUUGUCUUCAGGUCACAAAUGAUUGGCAAAAAGCCAUAUCGGGGCUCGACUCAUACGGUCAGAAGUGCAAAUGCAGGGAAGGCGAGGUCGCUGAGGCCGGCUGAGACCCCAGCUAGCUCGGAGGCCACCAGUGGCUUGACGACAGGGGCGCGGGGACCCUGUAGGGUGAGUCUGGAGAGCGGGCGGCGGUGGCCCCACUGCAGACAAGCCAUGGGCACCCUGGCUCAAGGCUCCCCCCAGACCCGAGUGCAGCCCAUCCCCGGAGACCCUCCUCUGGCUUGACGGGGGAAGGUGGGGGUCUGAGGCCCUGGACCAGCGGGGGAUGGCAGCAGGAGCGGUUCUGAGCGGCCUCCGGAGGCCUGGGUGGGGGCUCGCGGGGGAGAAGUCGCCCCCGCGUCACGUGCUAUGGGAGCCUCCCCGCUUGGCAUCGUUAUAACCUUUUUAAUUCCCUGGGAAAAAAGACGUGAAAGCCACAUCAGCUGGGCCGUGGGCUGAGGUUUAAAUGUGAUUGAAACUGCGGCGUGACUGGGGAGAAGGUUGACUGGUCUGCACAGCCUGCCUGGCUGGGUUUUAUGCCCACUGGACUCUGCCCUCGGAGGGAGUCAGGUGAGCGAGGCCGUGGUGAGGAAGUGGAGGCUGUGCGCCCAGACUAGGUCCGCCCUCUCUGGUCCUCGUUGAAUCCGGGGGUCCAGGAGCUAAGGAAAGGCGUGUCUUCACUUCUCCGGGUCCCGCAGGGGCGGCGUCGGGGGAUCGGGGGGCUGCCCCAGGCCUGCGGGCUGUUCAGACACAGCCCUGAGACCCACCUUCCCCCACGGCCGCCCCCCAUGGCCAUGUCCACCUGGACGGGGAGAUCUGGCCUGGAUGGGGCGGGGGCAAGGGUGCCACUUUCAGCCGAGUAGGACGACUGAUGGUUACACUGUGGGCCUGGCACUUGCUUCCCCAGCCGGAAGCAUGUCUGUGCCGCUUACCGCUCGGCCGCGACGAGCCUCAGCUUCCCCUCUGUAGAGUGGGAGUGGGGGCCCGGCUCAGCUCUGAGCUUGGAUGUGCUAGCCCUGGGGCCCCGCCCGCCUCGUCUCCCUUAGUCACUGUGGUCCUUGCUGAGGGCCUGGCGGGUGGGGAGAGAAGAUGGGGUGCUGGGCGGGGGCCCCUGGAUGUGCCGACUGAGGCCGGGGCCCCCAGUGCACAGUCCCGCCUUCCAGGCCCCCAGCAGGACCAGCAGCCAGGCGUCCACUCACACAGCCCCAGGCAGACGGCUGGACCCAGAGCCGUCAUUUUUCUUCAAAACGCCUUUUCCAGCAAGAAGUCCAAACACGAGGACGCCAGCCUGAGCUGACACAUUGUGGUUGUGACACGUUUUAAAUAGCUUUCACUAAUUGUGCUCAUUGCUCAUCUCUUCCUACCAUUUCAUAAAUUGCAUUUAAUUGUUUUGGGGUUGCUUCUUUAAAAAUAAAUUGUUACCUAG